UACGUAGGGCGCAAGCGUUAUCCGGAAUUAUUGGGCGUAAAGAGCUCGUAGGCGGUUCGACAAGUCGGAUGUGAAAUCUCCACGCUCAACGUGGAGGGGCCAUUCGAAACUGUCGUGACUAGAGUCCGGAAGAGGCAAGUGGAAUUCCCGGUGUAGCGGUGAAAUGCGCAGAUAUCGGGAGGAACACCAAUUGCGAAGGCAGCUUGCUGGGACGGUACUGACGCUGAGGCGCGAAAGCGUGGGGAGCAAACAGG
rnacentral:rRNA from 1 species